UUAGUUCAGUUCAGUAGAACGUGGGUCUCCAAAACCUGAUGUCGUAGGUUCAAAUCCUACA
rnacentral:tRNA from 1 species